CCAAUGGAUUGAGAUUAAGUUUAAUUGAAUAUAAUUUAAUUAGAUUUAGUUUGGACUUGAUUGGAUCAAGUCCAAUUGGUUUAUUGGAUAAGCCAGGUGCAAGAAAAAACUAGUCCUAGUUCAAUUAAGACUUGAGUCAACCUAAUUUCUAAUUUGAUUAAAAAAUUAAAUUAGAUUUAAACCUAAUUUAAUCUGAUUAAAUUAGAUUCUUAAUUGGGUUAAGAUCUAUUUUAAUUGGAUUGAUUUGGUUUUAGUUUGAUUUGAUUUGAGAAACC
rnacentral:lncRNA from 1 species